GUGGGGAAUAUUGGACAAUGGGCGCAAGCCUGAUCCAGCCAUACCGCGUGGGUGAAGAAGGCCUUCGGGUUGUAAAGCCCUUUUGUUGGGAAAGAAAUCCUGUCGAUUAAUACUCGGUGGGGAUGACGGUACCCAAAGAAUAAGCACCGGCUAACUUCGUGCCAGCAGCCGCGGUAAUACGAAGGGUGCAAGCGUUACUCGGAAUUACUGGGCGUAAGGCGUGCGUAGGUGGUGGUUUAAGUCUGCUGUGAAAGCCCUGGGCUCAACCUGGGAAUUGCAGUGGAUACUGGAUCACUAGAGUGUGGUAGAGGGAUGCGGAAUUUCUGGUGUAGCAGUGAAAUGCGUAGAGAUCAGAAGGAACAUCCGUGGCGAAGGCGGCAUCCUGGGCCAACACUGACACUGAGGCACGAAAGCGUGGGGAGCAAACAGGAUUAGAAACCCUGGUAGUCC
rnacentral:rRNA from 1 species